rnacentral:lncRNA from 13 species
GUAAUAGUGAUACUAGAGAGUAGUGAUAAUAUAGAUACUAGAGAGUAGUGAUAAUAGUGAUACUACAGAGUAGUGAUACUAGAGAGUAGUGAUAAUAUAGAUACUAGAGAGCAGUGAUACUAGAGAGCAGUGAUACUAGUCUGCUAAAUGACUAACAUGUAAGUCUCUCUGGAUAAGAGUGUCUGCUAAAUGACUAACAUGUAAAUUGAAAAUGUAAAUCAGGCCAAUGUACGAGAUUAGCAGAGACAAGUUCAAGAUUUACAGAAUUACUGUAACUCACAACUUUAUUUCCCCUUUCGUUUCAGGUUAUUAUGAAAAGGUAUUUUAGCCUUUGUUUCCCAGUUCAUUAAAACCAGUUACGCCUGUCAUAAAGAGAACAUGUCCAGGGUGAGUUACAAAGGAAACAACGUUGGCAUCUGCUCUGACAUUCCUCCUGAAUGGAUGGUUGGUCUGAGAAGGUAUAAAGGUCUGGAGGUUGGAUGCUGGAGGCAGAUAGGUAGAGAGGAAUCCUCCAGAGAGAUCCAGGCAUCAUGUCCUCCUCCACACCGGUGUUGCUGCAUCUGCUGCUACUGGUCUCCCUGGCUUCAGCGGGACACUUCUAUGGAGGCUCCAUGUCUGUCACCCCCAAAGGGAGGAACGCUGACGGAACAUUCAAGGUGGAUUUACGCUACAAGAAUACCCAUGACUGGUGUGAUUACGAUGGCUGGUAUUGUUCUUCAGGGAACUGCGGCUCUUCUGUCAAAGAUGUCAGAGGCACAAUUGACAGCAGCAGCAGAGGACGGAGUGGUUACAACAACCAGUGGUGUGAAACUGAAACAGUCGAGACCAGAAAUAUCCCCAGUGAUAAACCUUUUCAAUUGAUACAAAACAGCUGCUGUUGGAUCCCAACAGUAAACCGACUUGGAUCUUGGAGCCUGGAAACACAAGUGGAUCUGGGAACAAGAUCUGAUACUGGUGAACCCAACAGAUCUCCAGUCACAGCCAUUCUUCCUUUCAUACGUGUUCCCCAGAACUGUCAGAGGUCCUACAACCUCAUGGCCUUUGACCCUGACGGUGAUCGUGUCAGAUGCAGAUACGGAUUGGUCAGACCUGAGUGCGAUAGCUGUGAUCAGCCUUCAGGUUUCUACCUGGAUCAGGUUGGUGUGGGCAGUUAUUUUCAACACCUUGAAUCUCAUGUGAUUGUUGAUAUAUUGUCUUUGGUCUUAACCAGCUAUUCCAUUUGUGUUCUAACCUCUUCACUGUUAGGGCUCUUGCUCCUUACAAUACGGCUACACUUCAACGAGUGGCGUCUACGGGUUUNNNNNNNNNNAUGGCUGGUAUUGUUCUUCAGGGAACUGCGGCUCUUCUGUCAAAGAUGUCAGAGGCACAAUUGACAGCAGCAGCAGAGGACGGAGUGGUUACAACAACCAGUGGUGUGAAACUGAAACAGUCGAGACCAGAAAUAUCCCCAGUGAUAAACCUUUUCAAUUGAUGCAAGUUUGUUAUGAAAUACAUGUAAUCAAUUUAUUGAACAUGCAUUGUGCACAAUGACUCAUGGUUUUAGCUAUACCGUUAAAACCUAC